rnacentral:rRNA from 1 species
CUGGGCUCACUGGUGAAUCAUGAUAACUUCGCGAAUCGCAUGGCCUUGUGCCGGCGAUGGCUCAUUCAAAUUUCUUCCCUAUCAACUUUCGAUGUUUGGGUAGUGGCCAAACAUGGUUGCAACGGGUAACGGAGGGUUAGGGCUCGACCCCGGAGAAGGAGCCUGAGAAACGGCUACUACAUCCAAGGAAGGCAGCAGGCGCGCAAAUUACCCAAUCCCGAUACGGGGAGGUAGUGACAAUAAAUACUGAUACAGGGCUCUUUUGGGUCUUGUAAUUGGAAUGAGUACAAUUUAAAUCCCUUAACGAGGAACAAUUAGAGGGCAAGUCUGGUGCCAGCAGCCGCGGUAAUUCCAGCUCUAAUAGCGUAUAUUAAAGUUGUUGUGGUUAAAAAGCUCGUAGUUGAACCUUGGGCCUGGCUGGCGGGUCCGCCUCACCGCGUGUUACUUCGCCGGCCGGGCCUUUCCCUCUGUGGAACCCCAUGCCCUUCACUGGGUGUGGUGGGGAAACAGGACUUUUACUUUGAAAAAAUUAGAGUGCUCCAGGCAGGCCUAUGCUCGAAUAUAUUAGCAUGGAAUAAUAAAAUAGGACGUGUGGUUUUAUUUUGUUGGUUUCUAAGACCGCCGUAAUGAUUAAUAGGGACAGCCGGGGGCAUCAGUAUUCAAUUGUCAGAGGUGAAAUUCUUGGAUUUAUUGAAG